UACGGAGAUGGCAAGCGUUGUUCGGAAUUACUGGGCGUAAAGGGCGCGUAGGCGGGGAGGUAAGUCGGGUGUGAAAUCCCUCGGCUCAACCGAGGAACGGCGCUCGAAACUGCUUCUCUUGAGUCCCGGAGAGGAAGGUGGAAUUCCGGGUGUAGCGGUGGAAUGCGUAGAUAUCAGGAGGAACACCGGUGGCGAAGGCGGUUCUCUGGGAAUGUUCUGACGGCUGAGGAGCGAAAGUGUGGGGAGCGAACAGG
rnacentral:rRNA from 1 species